ACGGAGGAAGCCGAACCAAAACGGACUCCACAUCUUCUACGCACCUUCUACGGUCUACCCCGCCCUCUCUUCCCUUUUGCCUUCCUUAUAAUCAUGGCACUGGACUUCGACGUAGACGAUGCGCCAACCUUUCCUGAACUCGUGCGCGACGCUCGCCUCGAUGUCACGAAGGGUCGCGCGAUGACGGCGUGCUGGUCAGAGUUGACUGAUCAGCAUACAUUUUUCAGGGACGUCGCCAAAGAGGGCCGCACUCGUGGCGAAACCCUAGGUGCUGUGCUGGCUGCUGUUCAAGGGAUCUGCCAAGCUCUGCAGCGUGUCGAGCUCUCCAAUUCUGAGGCUAGGGCACCCUCGCCAGCUUGCACCGCCCUCUUUUCUUCGCCGGCACAAGGAGCAGUAGGGGGUACGCGGCCUGGUAGCCGGCUCGAGGAGGUGCAGACAUUCGCGCAGGUUGCCCGUGCAUAUGUCAGCCUGUACUGCUCUACACCAAUCCCGACGUGUGCGCAAUGGAUGAGCUCGCUGCAGCCUGUCUUUCCUCAGCCCCCGAACGCGGCCAGCACAGCCGUCAACGGCGCGAGUGCAUCUCGCUUCGAUGGUGAUGCGGGUGCUGUCCCCGCUACACCCGCAUCGUCUACGUUAUGCCGCUACUUGACAAAGCUGCGUCAGUCAGUGGAUGACGUCACGCAGGAGUUGCCUGACAGCGAGGUAGAUGGGAAGGAUGGUGGCUUUGCCGAGGAGAAACUGAAAGAGCUGGUGGUGUGCUGCAUGACGGUCGGACGACGGGUGACACGCCCGACCAUGCUCCCCCCCUUAGACGCACUCCUGGUGCGCGAGAUGGUGAAGGUGCUUCAGGACUUUGUGGAGAACUCGACGCUCGAGUGGUGAAGUUUCACAUCGCAGAGCGCGCACAAGAGGAUGAAGCGCAGUGUGCUGCUAUGACCAAGGAGCAAAGGGGACCAUUUUCAAGUUUCUGCCCGUUUUCCCUCGCUCCCCCUCCCACAAACUCCCCCUGCCUCUUUUUGCUCUCUGCUUUCAUGGGUGGCAGCGUAAAACAUAUCCGUUAGGCUCCUCGGCCGAUAACUUUGGCUCGAGUAAAAUCACUGAAAAAAAGAGAAACGAGCUAAGCAGAGGAAAGGGCUGUCAGCAGACCGCGCAUAUGCGCCACAAGCGUGGAAGGCCACUUUUCCCCCCGAGAGAAUGGGCGCGGCUAGGAAAGGUCGUGGUGAUGCACUUUGGAGCCCUUCUCGCUCGGUCAACUCUUCCGCCCCCGCCACGAGCCCAUGUGCCACUCUUGUGUCGAGUCCCUUUCUCUCUGUAGGUACGUGCUGCAUGAACUUUUUCUUUUAAGCUCUUUUUGUCGUUGGUAUCUGCAUCUCGUUCUUCGGGUGCCGCAUGCGACUUAUCGCGCAUCUAUUUUGCUCCUUCACACUACCAUGCACCCCUUAAAAAAG
rnacentral:misc_RNA from 1 species